rnacentral:tRNA from 1 species
GGUGCGUGCAGGUCGGCGGCCCCGGCGGGCUGCCGGUCCGCCGGCUGCGCGAGCUGUACCACGCGGUGGUGUACUGC